rnacentral:misc_RNA from 1 species
UUUGGCAAUUACUCGCAGUGCAAUUAAUAGUAAAAAACACAAGAGACGGAAUGGAUCUGGGUUGCAGAAGAGAUCUGAACCUGCCUUGCAGAAUGGCGACUGGGAUGACAAGCAAGGAGUGAACAGCUUUUCAGCCUCAGAAGAUACAGAGCCAGACUCAUCCACCUGAGUAUUUUCGGUUUCAGAAUGAGGCUGAAUAAUCCAGUUCUAACUGUGGAGCUUUAGCUUGUCCUCCAUUUUUGGUGUGCAAAGCCCCCUAUUAAGGCGGAUGAUGGUAGACCUUAUCCUUUAGUAAGCAGAUCUUUGCAGUUCUUAACUCAAUAAAGAGACAGAAAGCGCAAUAUUAAAUGUGCUGUCACUGUCUGUUAUCACCAUCAUCUGCAGACCUGUUAAAUACAUAGCUAUACUUAGUUACUUACCCUUUUUUUUU